CAUGGAUUAACAACAACAUUCUGAUAAAAUACGUCAGUGAGAAAUUCAGAAAGCAGUUAAAAGGUUCCUACAUCCCAGACACCACUCCUGCUCUCACCUUGUUGGUUGGCUGUUCUUUCAGGAAUUCUCUGUUGUACUCUCCAUUGCAGUGAUCUCAACAUGAAUGACUAUUUUGCCUAAAUUUAUACUCACAGACUUGGAGUAAGAUGGAGAUACAACAAACAUAUAACUACAUAUGGAAUAAUUUCCACUAAGGCCAAAAAGUUGGAUAAACAGAGCCUCUCCAAAAGACAAAAGGACAACACUAAAACAGAAGAAGAAAAAGGAGGAGGAACAGAAAGAAGAAACCUGCCCUAUUGGCCUCCAUAAGGAAGGGAAAAUGUGAAGCUGCAAUGUUUUCUCUCUAGUCUCCUGUACUUGGUUUGAAAACAGGAGCGCUUUUUAAUUCUAGUGUUCUUCCUCAAAGUGGAUAUGAUGGGAAGAGAUGAGUUGUGAGUAUCCUCAUGACUUCAUCAUUGUUUGCCCACAAGAUUCUCAUCACAGUGCAGUUGAAAAAGAUCAGAGACAACCUGAACAUCAACCAAUGACUGCAGUGACAGUGACAACAGCUGCUAUAUAAGCUGGGUGAAUAAUUUGGACUUCAGACAAGAGGCUGGAAGAACAUAUCCCUGCUCGACAGUUGGACACAGUGGUGAAGUUUGAGGACCUUAGACCUGCCCUGUCCCACAAACAGAACUAGAUAGCUAUCAAAUCAUCCUAACCUCCCCAGAAAUUGACCUGAAGACCAGUAGAACAAACUCUACAACUAAAGG